AGAGUUUGAUCCUGGCUCAGGAUGAACGCUAGCGGCAGGCUUAACACAUGCAAGUCGAGGGGCAUCGGGAGGGAAGCUUGCUUUCCUUGCCGGCGACCGGCGCACGGGUGAGUAACACGUAUGCAACCUGCCCUCUUCAGGGGGACAACCUUCCGAAAGGGAGGCUAAUCCCGCGUAUAUCGGUUUCGGGCAUCCGGGAUCGAGGAAAGAUUCAUCGGAAGAGGAUGGGCAUGCGGCGCAUUAGCUGGACGGCGGGGUAACGGCCCACCGUGGCGACGAUGCGUAGGGGUUCUGAGAGGAAGGUCCCCCACACUGGUACUGAGACACGGACCAGACUCCUACGGGAGGCAGCAGUGAGGAAUAUUGGUCAAUGGGAGAGAUCCUGAACCAGCCAAGCCGCGUGAGGGAAGACGGCCCUAUGGGUUGUAAACCUCUUUUGUCGGAGAACAAAACCCGGGACGUGUCCCGGACUGCGUGUAUCCGAAGAAAAAGCAUCGGCUAACUCCGUGCCAGCAGCCGCGGUAAUACGGAGGAUGCGAGCGUUAUCCGGAUUUAUUGGGUUUAAAGGGUGCGUAGGCGGUCCGUUAAGUCAGCGGUAAAAUUGCGGGGCUCAACCCCGUCGAGCCGUUGAAACUGGCAGACUUGAGUUGGCGAGAAGUACGCGGAAUGCGCGGUGUAGCGGUGAAAUGCAUAGAUAUCGCGCAGAACUCCGAUUGCGAAGGCAGCGUACCGGCGCCAGACUGACGCUGAGGCACGAAAGCGUGGGGAUCGAACAGGAUUAGAUACCCUGGUAGUCCACGCAGUAAACGAUGAAUGCUGGUUGUCCGGGUCGAAUGAGAUCUGGGCGGCGAAGCGAAAGCGAUAAGCAUUCCACCUGGGGAGUACGCCGGCAACGGUGAAACUCAAAAGAAUUGACGGGGGCCCGCACAAGCGGAGGAACAUGUGGUUUAAUUCGAUGAUACGCGAGGAACCUUACCCGGGCUCAAACGGGAGUGGAAUGGACCAGAGACGGUUCAGCCUACGGGCCGCUUCCGAGGUGCUGCAUGGUUGUCGUCAGCUCGUGCCGUGAGGUGUCGGCUUAAGUGCCAUAACGAGCGCAACCCCCGCCGGCAGUUGCUAACGGGCAAUGCCGAGGACUCUGCCGGGACUGCCGCCGCAAGGCGAGAGGAAGGCGGGGAUGACGUCAAAUCAGCACGGCCCUUACGUCCGGGGCGACACACGUGUUACAAUAGGCGGUACAGCGGGAAGCCAGGCGGCGACGCCGAGCGGAACCCGAAAGCCGUUCUCAGUUCGGAUCGGAGUCUGCAACCCGACUCCGUGAAGCUGGAUUCGCUAGUAAUCGCGCAUCAGCCAUGGCGCGGUGAAUACGUUCCCGGGCCUUGCACACACCGCCCGUCA
rnacentral:rRNA from 1 species